rnacentral:rRNA from 1 species
UACGGGGGGAGCAAGCGUUGUUCGGAUUUACUGGGCGUAAAGGGCGCGUAGGCGGCCACUGCAAGUCAGUUGUGAAAUCUCCGGGCUUAACCCGGAAAGGUCAACUGAUACUGCAGGGCUAGAGUGCAGAAGGGGCAACUGGAAUUCUCGGUGUAGCGGUGAAAUGCGUAGAUAUCGAGAGGAACACCUGCGGCGAAGGCGGGAUUGCUGGGCUGACACUGACGCUGAGGCGCGAAAGCCAGGGGAGCGAACGGGG